CAGGUAGCCAUACAUAAAGUAAUAUUUAGCAAAAUGUGUGGUUUUUCAACGUGCCAAAUACAGAGCACCAUUUAGUGAAUAAGCCCCCUUUUCAUUGGAAGGACAGAAAAAAAAAAAAAAGCCAUUCCCUAAUCCUUGCAGAAGAAAGGUAUUUCACAGCGUGAAGAAGAAAGGGGUCAGUGGCUGUGGAUCGGAGUCGUGUCAG